rfam:Triticum aestivum genome assembly, contig: Triticum_aestivum_CS42_TGACv1_scaffold_603506_7DL
AUACCUUUCUCGGCCUUUUGGCUAAGAUCAAGUGCAGUAUCUGUUUUUAUUAGUUUAAUAUUUGAUAUGUGGGCCAUGUAUCCAUAAUGAUAUUAAAUUUAUUUUUUGUGGGGUGGACCCAUCACAGUAACUUGCUGCUUGGGUCCACACGUGUCGCCGGGCGUUGCACUGCUGCCCUGGCCUGGCGCACCCCAA